AUUGAACGCUGGCGGUAGGCCUAACACAUGCAAGUCGAACGAGUGGCGGACGGGUGAGUAAUGUCUGGGAAACUGCCCGAUGGAGGGGGAUAACUACUGGAAACGGUAGCUCAUACCGCAUACCAUCGGAUGUGCCCAGAGGGGAUUAGCUAGGAGGUGGGGUAACGGCUCACCUAGGCGACGAUCCCUAGCUGGUCGGAGAGGAUGACCAGCCACACGGGAACGGAGACACGGUCGAGACUCCGACGGGAGGCAGCAGUGGGGAAUAUUGCACAAGGGGCGCAAGCCUGAUGGAGCAAUGCCGCGUGUAUGAAGAAGGCCUUCGGGUUGUAAAGUACUUUCAGCGAGGAGGCGUUACUCGCAGAAGAAGCACCGGCUAACUCCGUGCCAGCAGCCGCGGUAAUUC
rnacentral:rRNA from 1 species